rnacentral:misc_RNA from 1 species
AAAAAAUAUAAAUAAACAUUUAUGUAAUACUAAUCUGAACUAUUGGGCAGCCUGCUGAGAACAGAGUGCUCUGGCUUGUGUUCACACUCAAAGUCAAGAUGAACAAAGGCCCUUUCGACUUCUGGAAGCUUCUCAAUUUUGUUCUGCAAAGUUUCUCCAAUUGCAUGUGCCUCCUUAAGAGGCAACUCUUCUGGUAGUUCAAUGUCAACCUCUACAAAGUAAAGAACGCCAAAGGUGUAAGCGCGGACAGUGUCAAUGCGCUUAACUUGAGGAUGCCUUAUGACAAGAUAUGUCAACUUUUGCAGGACUUCAGGAGGGGCUGAUUGUCCAACAAGUGAAACUGCAUUUUCCAUGACAGUUCCAGACCAAUUUGAAAUUGUGUAAAUGGCAAGUAAAAUAGCACCAGUAGGGUCUAUCCACCAGUAGAACUCAUCACCAAGAACAGCUGCAACUAAUCCUACUACAUUUGUUACCACAUCAAAAUAGUGAUCCUUUGCAUAGGCACGGACAAUCUUGUUUCCUGACCUUUUACAAUAAAGCCAUAGUGCCAGCUUCACCACAGUGGCAGUGAUCAUUAUUGUGUAAAGCCACACCAAUUGAUCUGAGGACAUCUUUGCAGUAGGCUCAUCUUUAAUUAGUUCUUCAACAGCCUGGACCAAUAUUUGAAAGCCAAGGGUAGCCAUGACAGCAGCAAAGAUGAUUAUGCC